rnacentral:rRNA from 1 species
AGAGUUUGAUCCUGGCUCAGAGUGAACGCUGGCGGCGUGCCUAAUACAUGCAAGUCGAACGGUAACAGGAAGUAGCUUGCUACUUUGCUGAUUAGUGGCGCACGGGUGAGUAAUGCAUAGGUCAUGUGCCCCAUAGUCUGGAAUAGCCACUGGAAACGGUGAUUAAUACCGGAUACUCCCGAGAGGGGAAAGUUUUUUCGCUAUGGGAUCAGCCUAUGUCCUAUCAGCUUGUUGGUGAGGUAAUGGCUCACCAAGGCUAUGACGGGUAUCCGGCCUGAGAGGGUGAUCGGACACACUGGAACUGAGACACGGUCCAGACUCCUACGGGAGGCAGCAGUAGGGAAUAUUGCUCAAUGGGGGAAACCCUGAAGCAGCAACGCCGCGUGGAGGAUGAAGGUCUUCGGAUUGUAAACUCCUUUUCUAAGAGAAGAUUAUGACGGUAUCUUAGGAAUAAGCACCGGCUAACUCCGUG